rnacentral:lncRNA from 1 species
CCCUCUGCCCACUUUCUUCCCCUUCUUCCUCCUCUCCCGUCUCCACCCAGGCUGUCUCUGGAGUAACUGUGGAUGCUGACAGAAUGCGUGUCCGCUUUGCCAUCACUGUUCAUGCAGAGUGCCUGUUGGGGACUCUCCUGUAACCCAAAGGAGUGGCGGAAGGAUGGAGCUUCAGAAUCUAGGAGGUCGUCUUCACCCAGGGAGGGUCAGCAUGUGGAGAGGGUCGCUUGGGAGAGGUCCCGCAUGUGGAGAGGGUCACCUGGGAGAGGCUCCAGUGUCAGCCUGCACUUGCUGUCAGUAAAUGUUAGAACAGCACUGGAUUGGCAAAAAGGAGACUGAGGCGGGAACCCAGGCAGAGGCUGCUGUGAGUCCAGCUAGGACGAGACGCG